AUACUCACUUCAUUAGGACAUAUACUAAAACUGGAACAAUACAGAGAAGAUUGGGGCCCCUGUACAAGGAUGACACACAAAUUCGUGAAGUGUUCCAUAUCUUU